AGAUCCUGCCUUUCAGGCAUCCUCUCCCAAAACUUUCAUGGCCCGGUCGGCAACGACCGGGCCUUUUUUUGUCGCUCG
rnacentral:sRNA from 2 species